UAAAAAGAACAACAUCUUGCAGUAAAAAAAAGUUUCCUUGAAAAUUAAUUUUAACAUAAAAUCUUUUAACGAGAAAAUAUUUAAAAAGAAAAUAUUAUCCCCUUACGAAUUGAAAUUCAUUAUUAAACCGCUAAACGAUAAGAUUAUACCGCUAACGAUUAUUACGCAUAACAAUAGCGAAUAUCGUCGAUUAUGAAAUGUUUUCACGAAGAAGCGUUAAUUCCCAUGACGUAAAUACAUACAUGAUGUUAUUUAAAAUAUUUAUCCUAAACUAUCAUAUGAAAGCUUAAUUUGUAAAAAAUUGAUAUAUCAGAAAUUUUGAUUUCCAUUGAAACGUUACUACUUGUCCCGCUGUACGUUUUCUUUUCUCUUUUUGUUUUUUGUUUCUUUUUUUUUUUUUUUUUUCGUUUUAAAACCGAACAACGACAAAGAACGCAUUACAAUAUUAUUCCAUUGACUGAUCUACAAAAGAAGUCUGUGAACUUUCGGGUCAUCUAUUCUACAUUUAUACGUUCCCUUUGUACGAAACUAAUAAAAGAAUGAAAAAAAAAGAAAGAAAGGAAACAAAAAUACAUACAUACAUAUAUAUAUAUAUAUAUAUAUAUAUAUAUAUAUAUAUGUAUAUAUAUGUAUAUAUAUAGUAAUUUCUCUCGAAAUGGAUGCAAAUAUAACAUGCGAUAGAAAUAAAUAUUACAAUUUCAUUGAUAAUAACUAUUAAAUUCGAAUUUAUGAUUUAUUUAUUAUUCGCUGAUUUCAUUAUCAUUAUUUCGUUUCGUUUUUCAUUUUCGCUUUCGUUUAACUUUUUUAUCUUCAUUAAAAAUAAAUAAAAACACAUGUUAAAAGCGUCGAUUAUUCCAUUUAAAUGUAUGCAUAUUAAAGAGAAAAAUUACGGAUAAGAAAAAGAAGGGGAAAGAGAAAUGAUAAAAAAAAAAAAAAAAAAAAAAAAAAAAAAAGGAAAGAAAAAAAUAUAAAAACAAAGAAAUUUUUUUGACCCACUUAAGAAUUCAAUUCAAAUCGAUAAAAUAUUAAAGACGACGACGACGACGACGACGACGACGACGACGACGAUUUAUUUACAAAUUCGCGUAUAGAUCGAAUCUCUUGUACGCUCCUGGGGCAUGCGCAUAAAUGGAUUUGUUAGGAGUACGAAGAAGUGUGAUCGUGGAACAGUAAGCGACAUGUUAGAUACAUAUGAUAUUUUUCUCUUUCUGUUCUGUAUUUAUAAAUAAAAUAGAAAUGGCGCAUAAAUAUACAUAUAUGUAGAUCGGGGUGAUCGAUAAAGAGAGAAGAAGAAGAAGAAGAAGAAGAAGAAGAAGAAGAAGAAGAAGAAGAAGAAGAAGAAGAGGAAGAAGAAGAAGGAGGAGGAGGAGGAGGGAAGAAAAAAAAAAAAAGAGGAAAGAGAAAAAAAAAGGAAACAUGUGAUGGGUCAUUGUUGUGAAGCAAUGAGGCCGAGGACGAGGACGAGGACGAGGAAGAGGACGUGGAAGAGAAGGCCGGCAACCCUCGCAGUACAGGUAUCGUCGCGUUGCUGUAUACACGUAUCAUCAUUGGAAAGCUCCUCUCUUCUCUCAUUCUAAACUGACAUCCUCAUAGAAUCGAUAUUGUCGUGAGAGUUAUAUUUUGAGAGAGAGAGAGAGAGAGAGAGAGAGAGA